UACGUAGGGUGCGAGCGUUAAUCGGAAUUACUGGGCGUAAAGUGUGCGCAGGCGGCCGCGCAAGUCGAGUGUGAAAGCCCCGAGCUUAACUUGGGAACUGCGCUCGAAACUACGUGGCUGGAGUGUGGCAGAGGAAGGUGGAAUUCCACGUGUAGCGGUGAAAUGCGUAGAUAUCUGGAGGAACACCGGUGGCGAAGGCGGCAUCCUGGACCAACACUGACGCUGAGUGAGCGAAAGCCAGGGGAGCAAACGGG
rnacentral:rRNA from 1 species